rnacentral:rRNA from 1 species
UUGGAGGGCAAGUCUGGUGCCAGCAGCCGCGGUAAUUCCAGCUCCAAUAGCGUAUAUUAAAGUUGUUGCAGUUAAAAAGCUCGUAGUUGAAUUUCGAGACCGGUUUACUGGUCGUGCUUUUGUACGUACUGGUAUUAUCGGUUUCUCCUUUCUGACGAAUCAUAAUGCCAUUAAUUUGGUGUUUUGGGGAAUCAGGACUGUUACUUUGAAAAAAUUAGAGUGUUUAAAGCAGGCUCACGCUUGAAUACAUCAGCAUGGAAUAACGAAAUAGGACGUUUGAUUUUAUUUUGUUGGUUUCUAGGAUCGACGUAAUGAUUAAUAGGGAUAGUUGGGGGCAUUAGUAUUCAAUUGUCAGAGGUGAAAUUCUUGGAUUUAUUGAAGACUAACUACUGCGAAAGCAUUUGCCAAGGAUGUUUUCAUUAAUCAAGAACAAAGUUAGGGGAUCGAAGGCGAUCAGAUACCGUCGUAGUCUUAACCAUAAACUAUGCCGACUAGGGAUCGGAUGAUGUUAAUUUUUUAAUGACUCAUUCGGCGCCUUACGGGAAACCAAAGUGUUUGGGUUC